AAAACAGCGGAGCCCACACUUAUCAGAAAGGAGAUAAGCGAUAUUUCACUUGAAAAUAUCCUCGAUGGUGGCUCUGGUAGCCAUAGUAUGUAGUGCACCAACAUGUUAAGAACUUCCCUUUUCGUGUACCAUUGACAAAUGCAGAAUACUGAAGCUCUUUUGUGUUAUUUAUGGAAAAACAUGCGAGUAAGCUCUUUUUUGUAAUGACUAUAACUUGUUGAAGGAUAUCCUGUUCUCU
rnacentral:misc_RNA from 1 species